UGGAUCACCUCCUAACAGGGAGACAAAUCAGAUAUUGAUGUCUGGACCAAAUUGAGUCUAGGCCAAUAUCCUGUCAUCUCGAAGGUCGAUCGGUACCUCAAGCCAGGUUGCCAAGAUGUCAAGGAGACUUGAGAUUGUUGGUGAUGUUGGUUUCAGUUUCUAAACUCUGUCUAGGUCACCCCACAGCGGGUAAGUACUCCUGGGCCAUUAGCUCAGGUGGUUAGAGCGCACCCCUGAUAAGGGUGAGGUCCCUGGUUCAAGUCCAGGAUGGCCCAUUCACCGCCUGCUGAGCAGGCAGGACUUGGCUGCUGGGGGUUUAGCUCAGUUGGUAGAGCGCCUGCUUUGCAAGCAGGAUGUCAGCGGUUCGAGUCCGCUAACCUCCAUCCAACUAUGAAUCCCGAACAGCAAAGGAAGGAGUCGCUGGGGUGGUGACCGAAAGUUGAGAUUAUGUUGCAUCCAUUGUGAUGCUUAAAGCAUGAUCAGCAUUAUAAAUAGAAUUCAGCCUCCAGGCAUUCUGAGCAAUCAGCUGCCUGGAAGCUGAAUUCAGGUUUUCCGAGAGGAAGCCAAGAAUUCAGCGAGAACCUUGACAACUGCAUAGGUAAGUCUGGAAAGAAAGCAUCUCAUGGAUGCCUAAUGUCCAGAGCGAGUGAGAGCCGAUGAGAAUCGGAGGGAGCGAGCUUUGGAGAUGAGGUUUGAUUCUUGAGUGAGAGCCGAGACUUUUCCGCGACUUCGAAUCGAUCUGAUCGAGAGAUUAGAUGAGGAGUUUGUAGCGGGAAAGAUUUAUAGGUCAAGCUACAAAGGGCUCACGGUGGAUACCUUGGCACACAGAGGCGAUGAAGG
rnacentral:tRNA from 1 species